UACAGUAAGUUAGUACAAGUUGGCAAUAUUACCUCAUAAGAGGCCCAAGAGCUGGUCAGAAGAAGUGUCACAAUUCAGGUUUGUGGCACAUGAGCAAAACGAUGUGGAUAUAACUUAUACCAAGCCUCACAUUCUAACUAAAGGAUACUAUUGAAAUAUGUAAGAGACCUUGCUCUAGUACCUAUUCAAAAAUGGUACCUGAUUAACAGGGGUUGCUGUACCUGUCGAAUGCCCUUAUUUUUAGGAACACAACCUUACACACGAGAGUGUUAAGUCAAAGUUAUUCCUAUAUCACUGAGUUUUCACCAGUGACUUUGUUUAUAAGGAAAUGUUUCAAAAAUCGACUUAAUAAGAUAAAUAGUGUGUGAAAUAGGCAUCAAAUGAACUAAAUUAGAUAUAAAUGAAUGGAAUGAGGCUCUAAUCAAUGGUAUAUGCUGUGUGUUAAGAUGGAUUAAUACAACAGUGCGGUGAAAUCUUAUAUAGUCUGUCUUUGUGAGUGUUGGAAGGGAAGGUGUACUCUUGGGAGUCACUUGGGAUCUCUGAGCAAGUUCGCUGUAAGAUGUCAUAGCAGGGAGAAAGGGCUCCUAAUGGAUGCAGCAGAAAGUAGCCCUGGUGAGAAGAGCAAUUCAGCUGCAGUGGGACUGGAGCAGAAGUGCCAUGGACAUUAGGAGCUGAUUUAGGAGGAUCAAGAAAAUGUAACCUGCUGAUUUUGGAUUCAUACAGUCACCUGUGCUGCUGUCUCAUCGGCGCAUUAAUGCUAAUGGAGCCCUUUAUGAACACAUCUGGCAGAAAAUGGCAUUUGUAACAGCAGCUGGCAGUCAGAGGGAGAAGGAUUAAAAAAAAAGAAAACAGGCUGAGAAUAGAUGAGGAGGAGAGGUGACAAAUUGACAUCACGUGAAAUGUAGGAGGUGAUAGCCAGAUCAUGCCUCUCAAUUUGUGUGGUGAUGAAUUUCUGACCUGCAUUUCUGCUGGAUCAUUGUGCAGUCAGAAGACUGAAUGGGGA